rnacentral:lncRNA from 1 species
GCAAUUUCAAAGUGAAGAAGUUGAAAACAGAUGUUGCCAAAAAUUCUUCUUUUUUUUGCAGGGAGGAGACUGUUCCAAUGUUAAGUUCGGAAAAACCUGUCUAUUCCAACAUUAUUUGCUGAGGCUGAAAAGGAAUUGAAGUGGCAUGUGUAAAAGCAUGUGAACUGAUCGCAUCUUCACCAGCUUCCCUCCCCACAUCGGUCCUUUUUGAUAAAAAAAACUAAACAAACCCUCAUCUGUCCCUCGCAUAUGGCUCUGUGUGUGUGUGUAAGUACAUGCGUGUGACUUGUCAUUGGAGUAGGUCAUUGCAACAGAUGCCAAACAGAUAAUAGUUUGAGAAGACAA